rnacentral:rRNA from 1 species
CCCUAGAGCGAAACUUGUCAACUCGUCAUUAGAGAAGUAAAGUCGUUACAAGGUUUCCGUAGGUGAACUUGCGGAAGGAUCAUUACGGAGUGAGGGCCCUUUGGGUCCAACCUCCCACCCGUGUUUAUUUUACCUUGUUGCUUCGGCGGGCCCGCCUUUACUGGCCGCCGGGGGGCUCACGCCCCCGGGUCCGCGCCCGCCGAAGACACCCUCGAACUCUGUCUGAAGAUUGAAGUCUGAGUGAAAAUAUAAAUUAUUUAAAACUUUCAACAACGGAUCUCUUGGUUCCGGCAUCGAUGAAGAACGCAGCGAAAUGCGAUACGUAAUGUGAAUUGCAAAUUCAGUGAAUCAUCGAGUCUUUGAACGCACAUUGCGCCCCCUGGUAUUCCGGGGGGCAUGCCUGUCCGAGCGUCAUUGCUGCCCUCAAGCCCGGCUUGUGUGUUGGGCCCCGUCCUCCGAUUCCGGGGGACGGGCCCGAAAGGCAGCGGCGGCACCGCGUCCGGUCCUCGAGCGUAUGGGGCUUGUCACCCGCUCCGUAGGCCCGGCCGGCGCUUGCCGAUCAACCCAAAUUUUUAUCCAGGU